rnacentral:rRNA from 1 species
GAUGAACGCUGGCGGCGUGCCUAAUACAUGCAAGUCGAGCGAACGGACGAGAAGCUUGCUUCUCUGAUGUUAGCGGCGGACGGGUGAGUAACACGUGGAUAACCUACCUAUAAGACUGGGAUCACUUCGGGAAACCGGAGCUAAUACCGGAUAAUAUUUUGAACCGCAUGGUUCAAAAGUGAAAGACGGUCUUGCUGUCACUUAUAGAUGGAUCUGCGCUGCAUUAGCUAGUUGGUAAGGUAACGGCUUACCAAGGCAACGAUGCAUAGCCGACCUGAGAGGGUGAUCGGCCACACUGGAACUGAGACACGGUCCAGACUCCUACGGGAGGCAGCAGUAGGGAAUCUUCCGCAAUGGGCGAAAGCCUGACGGAGCAACGCCGCGUGAGUGAUGAAGGUCUUCGGAUCGUAAAACUCUGUUAUUAGGGAAGAACAUAUGUGUAAGUAACUGUGCACAUCUUGACGGUACCUAAUCAGAAAGCCACGGCUAACUACGUG